CUCAGUAGGCCACUUUGCCUCUCACCUCGUCUCUCUCUCUCUCUCGAACCCGAGCGAGACCUGAGCGGCUGAGCCUCUCUCUCAAACUCUUGGUCCAAACCCUAAUCCCUAAUCCCUCACUCCCUCAGUCCCUCUCUCGACCACUCCCUGUCUCCCUCACUCUCGAACUCGAGUGAGCUUAUGAGCCUCUCUAACUCUUCCAAGAAUCGAAUCGUUCGGUGCAUUCGAUUUCAUUUCACGUCAAAUCGAUUCGAUUCAAAGUAGCUGAACAAUUGCUGCAAUACUGCUGGUGAGUACGAGCUCGGAGCUUCAAUUGUUUUGGAUUAGAAGCUUUGGAUUGUUGAGUUGAGGGCUGCAGGAGCACCGAUGAAUAAGUUUGAAUGUUUGAUGUUUGAGGGAGAAGGACUAAGUUUGUGGGUCUCGAUGUUCCACCAUCUGUACCCAGGUGGUGAUUCUCAUGUUCUUUUCAGAACGCUCUUGUUCUAUGGAAUAGGAGUAUAGGACUAUGGAUUAAUGGCGUGUUCAAUUUUUUUCCCUUCUUCCUUGCUGGUCAUGUGUUCCAAUCUCAACAAUUCAAGAAAUCAGGGAUUCAAGGCUUAGAAGUUAGAACUGGAGCAACGUAGGAGCAGUGUAGUUGGUCGGUUUGGACCAACAGGUCAGUUUCUUUUUUCUGGAGCAAUCUAUGGGUAAGCUGAAGAUCCCCAAACUUCUACAAAGAUCCCACUGAAGAUGACCUUGAAAUGUAUCACACUUUGGAAGAACUUGAGAGGGAAAAUGCUUUUAAUCAAGGAAUGGAGUCCAAUAUCAGCUCUACACAAACUGAUGCCUAGCAGCCAGCAGGCAACAUCGUGAGCUUUCUUGUUCAACAAACUUUGAGUCUUUGAGUGAGGCAGGGCCGCAGCGAGCAGAGCACAAGAAGCAAAUAUGCAGGGAGCAGAGCACAACAAGCAAAUAUGCAGUGACGAUGAGAUGAAAUUUGAGUCUUUGAAUACUUUAUUUUCAACUAUUGUCCGCUUUGUUCUUGUGUCAUUCAUUCAUUUGUGUGAACUGUAAGUGAUGGUAUGAAGUGAUGAUGACAUGAACUGUAAGUGGCUAAGUGAUAUGAAUUAUGAAGUGAUGAAUUGAUGAUGAGAUGAACUGUAAGAGUGUAAGUGAUGAACUGAAGUUGAUGUGAGAGACUGAGAGAGUGAGAGUUAUAAGUUAUUUGAUUGUUUUACAUUUGCUUAUGGUCUGGGCCCUUGAAUUCAUAUAAGUUAUUUGAUUGUUU